rnacentral:rRNA from 1 species
CAGCCGCCGCGGGAAUACGUAGGUGGCAAGCGUUGUCCGGAAUUAUUGGGCGUAAAGGGCUCGCAGGCGGUUUCUUAAGUCUGAUGUGAAAGCCCCCGGCUCAACCGGGGAGGGUCAUUGGAAACUGGGAAACUUGAGUGCAGAAGAGGAGAGUGGAAUUCCACGUGUAGCGGUGAAAUGCGUAGAGAUGUGGGGGAACACCAGUGGCGAAGGCGACUCUCUGGUCUGUAACUGACGCUGAGGAGCGAAAGCGUGGGGAGCGAACAGGAUUAGAUACCCGCGUAGUCCCUGUCUCUUAUAC